rnacentral:rRNA from 1 species
GGCUCCUUGUAUUACAAAAAUAAGGAGUCGGACCUGCCCGGUGAAAUUUUUAACGGCCGCGGUACUCUGACCGUGCAAAGGUAGCAUAAUCAUUUGCCUUAUAAUUGAAGGCUUGUAUGAAUGGUUUGACAAGAAUGAAGCUGUCUCUUUAUAAUUAACUUGAAUUUUAUUUAUAGGUGAAGAAGCCUAUAUUACAUUGAAAGACAAGAAGACCCUAUCGAGCUUUAAAGAAAUUAGUAAAUUCUUAAAUCGAUAUUGAAAUAUAGAUUUUAUUAUUAAGUCAUUUUAGUUGGGGCGACUGAGGAACAAAUAAAGCUUCCUAUAUGAAUAUUAAAUACAUCCAAGUACUGAUCCAGAAAUUUUGAUUAAAGGAAUUAGUUACCGUAGGGAUAACAGCAUUAUCUUUUUUGAGAGUUCUAAUCGAAAAAAAGGUUUGUGACCUCGAUGUUGGACCAGAAUAUCCUAAAGAUGCAGCCGUCUUUAAGGGUUGGUCUGUUCGACCAUUAAAAUUCUACGUGAUCUGAGUUCAGACCGGCGUGAGCCAGGUCAGUUUCUAUCUUCAAUUUAUAUACUGAACUUAGUACGAAAGGACCGGUUUAUUGUAAGAUACUUAUUUAAUCUGAUGAAAUAUAAAAUAUUAUUAAACUAAUUAUAUCUUUUAAGAUAAAAUCAAAUUAGCAAAGAUUUAAUGCAAUUGACUUAGGAUCAAUAGACAUAGGUGAAAUUCCUUUAUUUGAUAAAUAAAGGUGGCAGAUGAA